GUGAACGCUGGCGGUAGGCCUAACACAUGCAAGUCGAACGGCAGCACAGUAAGAGCUUGCUCUUACGGGUGGCGAGUGGCGGACGGGUGAGGAAUACAUCGGAAUCUACUUUUUCGUGGGGGAUAACGUAGGGAAACUUACGCUAAUACCGCAUACGACCUACGGGUGAAAGCAGGGGAUCUUCGGACCUUGCGCGAUUGAAUGAGCCGAUGUCGGAUUAGCUAGUUGGCGGGGUGAAGGCCCACCAAGGCGACGAUCCGUAGCUGGUCUGAGAGGAUGAUCAGGCACACGGGAAAUGGGGACCGGGCCACGCUACCACGAGCGGCCGAAGUGGGGAAGUUUGGGAAAUGGGCCGAAUCGUAAUCCAGCCAUUCCGCGAAGGAAAAGAAGCCCUUUGGUUUGUAAAGUCCUUUUUUUGGGAAAAAAAAGAAGCACGUUAAAACCCCGUGGUUUUGCCCGGACCCAAAGAAGAAGAACCCGCUAACUUCC
rnacentral:rRNA from 1 species